AUUCUUGCUUGGUAGAACAUAUAUUAAAAUUGGAAUAAUACAGAGAAGAUUAGCAUGGCCUCUGUACAAGGAUGACACACAAAUUCAUUAAGUGUUCCCUCCUUUU
rnacentral:snRNA from 1 species